rnacentral:rRNA from 1 species
ACCGGCGGCCAUAUCACCCUGUAGCCCAAGACUGGUUGCCCACUGAAGCUAAGCAGGGCUGAGCCUGGUCAGUACCUGGAUGGGAGACCUCCUGGGAAAACUAGGUUGCUGCUGGAA